GGCUCAGGAUGAACGCUGGCGGCGUGCCUAAUACAUGCAAGUCGAACGAGUUCUGAUUAUUGAAAGGUGCUUGCAUCUUGAUUUAAUUUUGAACGAGUGGCGGACGGGUGAGUAACACGUGGGUAACCUGCCCUUAAGUGGGGGAUAACAUUUGGAAACAGAUGCUAAUACCGCAUAAAUCCAAGAACCGCAUGGUUCUUGGCUGAAAGAUGGCGUAAGCUAUCGCUUUUGGAUGGACCCGCGGCGUAUUAGCUAGUUGGUGAGGUAACGGCUCACCAAGGCAAUGAUACGUAGCCGAACUGAGAGGUUGAUCGGCCACAUUGGGACUGAGACACGGCCCAAACUCCUACGGGAGGCAGCAGUAGGGAAUCUUCCACAAUGGACGCAAGUCUGAUGGAGCAACGCCGCGUGAGUGAAGAAGGCUUUCGGGUCGUAAAACUCUGUUGUUGGAGAAGAAUGGUCGGCAGAGUAACUGUUGUCGGCGUGACGGUAUCCAACCAGAAAGCCACGGCUAACUACGUGCCAGCAGCCGCGGUAAUACGUAGGUGGCAAGCGUUAUCCGGAUUUAUUGGGCGUAAAGCGAGCGCAGGCGGUUUUUUAAGUCUGAUGUGAAAGCCCUCGGCUUAACCGAGGAAGUGCAUCGGAAACUGGGAAACUUGAGUGCAGAAGAGGACAGUGGAACUCCAUGUGUAGCGGUGAAAUGCGUAGAUAUAUGGAAGAACACCAGUGGCGAAGGCGGCUGUCUGGUCUGUAACUGACGCUGAGGCUCGAAAGCAUGGGUAGCGAACAGGAUUAGAUACCCUGGUAGUC
rnacentral:rRNA from 1 species